UACGGGGGGGGCAAGCGUUGUUCGGAAUUACUGGGCGUAAAGAGCUCGUAGGUGGUUUGUCGCGUUGUUCGUGAAAACUCACAGCUCAACUGUGGGCGUGCGGGCGAUACGGGCAGACUGGAGUACUGCAGGGGAGACUGGAAUUCCUGGUGUAGCGGUGGAAUGCGCAGAUAUCAGGAGGAACACCGGUGGCGAAGGCGGGUCUCUGGGCAGUAACUGACGCUGAGGCGCGAAAGCGUGGGGAGCAAACAGG
rnacentral:rRNA from 1 species